rnacentral:snRNA from 1 species
GUACUCAUUCCAGCAGCACAUAUAUUGAAAUUGGAAUGAUACAGAGAAGAUUAGCAUGUCCUUUGCAGAUGGAUACUAUGCAAAAUUUAACAGGGAAGAAAGCACUCU